rnacentral:rRNA from 1 species
UUUCGCAAUGCCCGAAAGGGUGACGAAGCGACGCCGCGUGUGGGAAGAAGGCCUUCGGGUUGUAAACCACUGUCGGGAGUUAGGAAAUGCAGGUGCGUUAAUAGCGCACUUGCUUGACUAAGGCUCCAGAGGAAGCCACGGCUAACUCUGUGCCAGCAGCCGCGGUAAUACAGAGGCGGCAAGCGUUGUUCGGAAUUAUUGGGCGUAAAGAGCACGUAGGCGGCCUUGCAAGUCAGUUGUGAAAGCCUUCCGCUUAACGGAAGAACGGCAUCUGAUACUACAGGGCUUGAGUACGGGAGGGGAGAGUGGAACUUCUGGUGGAGCGGUGAAAUGCGUAGAUAUCAGAAGGAACGCCGGCGGCGAAAGCGACUCUCUGGUCCGAAACUGACGCUGAGUGUGCGAAAGCUAGGGGAGCAAACGGGAUUAGGUACCCCGGUAGUCCUAGCCGUAAACGAUGGGCACUAAGUAGAGGGGUUUU